GGGAAUGGAUGCAAACGUCUGGGUUUCGUGACAGGCGAGCCGUUCUUUACGACUUGGUUCGUUGUCAACGAAACCUGCACGAUCUGCAACCAAA
rnacentral:pre_miRNA from 1 species